rnacentral:rRNA from 1 species
AGCGAACGCUGGCGGCAGGCCUAAUACAUGCAAGUCGAGCGCACCUUCGGGUGAGCGGCGGACGGGUGAGUAACGCGUGGGAACGUGCCCUUUGGUACGGGAUAACUGAGGGAAACUUCAGCUAAUACCGUAUGUGCCCUACGGGGGAAAGAUUUAUCGCCAUUGGAGCGGCCCGCGUUGGAUUAGGUAGUGGGUGAGGUAAAGGCCCACCAAGCCUACGAUCCAUAGCUGGUCUGAGAGGAUGAUCAGCCACACUGGGACUGAGACGCGGCCCAGACUCCUACGGGAGGCAGCAGUAGGGAAUCUUGCGCAAUGGGCGAAAGCCUGACGCAGCCAUGCCGCGUGAAUGAUGAAGGUCUUAGGAUUGUAAAAUUCUUUCACCGGGGGAGAUAAUGACGGUACCCGGAGAAGAAGCCCCGGCUAACUUCGUGCCAGCCGCCGCGGUAAAAC